rnacentral:rRNA from 2 species
UGGUGGGUAGUUUGACUGGGGCGGUCUCCUCCUAAAGAGUAACGGAGGAGCACGAAGGUUGGCUAAUCCUGGUCGGACAUCAGGAGGUUAGUGCAAUGGCAUAAGCCAGCUUGACUGCGAGCGUGACGGCGCGAGCAGGUGCGAAAGCAGGUCAUAGUGAUCCGGUGGUUCUGAAUGGAAGGGCCAUCGCUCAACGGAUAAAAGGUACUCCGGGGAUAACAGGCUGAUACCGCCCAAGAGUUCAUAUCGACGGCGGUGUUUGGCACCUCGAUGUCGGCUCAUCACAUCCUGGGGCUGAAGUAGGUCCCAAGGGUAUGGCUGUUCGCCAUUUAAAGUGGUACGCGAGCUGGGUUUAGAACGUCGUGAGACAGUUCGGUCCCUAUCUGCCGUGGGCGCUGGAGAACUGAGGGGGGCUGCUCCUAGUACGAGAGGACCGGAGUGGACGCAUCACUGGUGUUCGGGUUGUCAUGCCAAUGGCACUGCCCGGUAGCUAAAUGCGGAAGAGAUAAGUGCUGAAAGCAUCUAAGCACGAAACUUGCCCCGAGAUGAGUUCUCCCUGAGACUUUAAGUCUCCUGAAGGAACGUUGAAGACGACGACGUUGAUAGGCCGGGUGUGUAAGCGCAGCGAUGCGUUGAGCUAACCGGUACUAAUGAACCGUGAGGC